GAAUUUUGGACAAUGGGCGAAAGCCUGAUCCAGCAAUGCCGCGUGCAGGAUGAAGGCCUUCGGGUUGUAAACUGCUUUUGUACGGAACGAAAAGCUUUGGGUUAAUACCCAUGGACGAUGACAUUCGCUGCAGAAUAAGCCCCGGCUCACUACGUUCCAGCACCCGCGGUAAUACGUAGGGUGCAAGCGUUAAUCGGAAUUACUGGGCGUAAAGCGUGCGCAGGCGGUUUUGUAAGACAGAGGUGAAAUCCCCGGGCUCAACCUGGGAACUGCCUUUGUGACUGCAAGGCUAGAGUACGGCAGAGGGGGGUGGAAUUCCGCGUGUAGCAGUGAAAUGCGUAGAUAUGCGGAGGAACACCGAUGGCGAAGGCAACCCCCUGGGCCUGUACUGACGCUCAUGCACGAAAGCGUGGGGAGCAAACAGG
rnacentral:rRNA from 1 species